GGAAAUUGUUACCACAGGUAUUCAGGAAAUAGCUGGCAAGAAGAAUGCUGUGGUUCAUAUUCCCUCUGGGCAAACACAAGAUUGGCACAGUGCAUAACCAAGCCAAAAAACUCAUAAAUACAGAUGAAAAGAAAAUUCAGCAUAAUCCCUUUCCAAAGCUGAUCCUCAGUGCAUCUCUGAGAUGACAGGCUGUGUACACGCCUGGCUGUCUGCUGACAUUAUAAUGGUUGAUAAGACUUCUGCAAAUGAGUAGCAGGGAAUGAUCAAGUAGAACAGCUUUUGUUUCCAUGAAGCAUUCUUAGUUGCCCGAAAUAGACCUCCAGUUGCAUUUCACAUAACCUUAGCAGAAAACUUCACUGCCUAAAAUCUGCACUGCAGCAAUCUCUGAAGCAGAGUUGGGAAGAACACUGAACCAACAGAGUACUGUCUCACUGAAAUGAAACUGUUUUACAGAAAGAUUACCCACAAGACGAAUCAAGAAAAUAUACAGCAGAAACAUGCUGAGUAAUUUGUGUACUGGAUGUCAGCAACCCACCUGUCUUGUUGACUACCCACCUUCCAAAACCCCAUUUUCUUUCAUUUUUUCACAAAUCAGGCUGUAGCUGGUUAUGCAGGAGCUUCCCCAACACUUCAUAGCAACCUGCUUUCUGACCUUACUUUUUCAAAAUGCAGUCUUCAGACAGGAAUUUCAGCCUGCAUAUGGUUUGAGAACAACAGCCAGAUCUUUGUUGUUGAUGCUCCUAUCUCCAGAGGAGACAAGGUUAACAUCUGACUGAAGGCAUACCACAUGGGGUUUCAGAGAUCAAGGAAUAUCUGGACAAGUCAGAAGAAUCUUACUGAAAAGGGACACAUUAAGAGCAACAGUACAAGCAGCACCAAGCUGGCACUGCCUACCCCAACCUGGGCAAGGGAGGUAAGCAGGCUGGGUGCUGAGUUCCUGCCUGCCUGGGUACAAGUAGGCUGCUCUGGAGCAGAGUGGCUGUUUGCACAGCACAGAGCCAAAGCUGUGCACUGCUCUGUGCGUUGCAGUUUGCUGCAAACUCAUCAGCACAGCCUUUGUUACUCAGAGCUUAGUGCUGUUUCCUAUUUCAUGGUGUCAAGCAUCUUUAAAAUAGGAAAACCGAAGGUGGUCUGAGCCUCUCACAUAUUGUAAUAAUAAAGUUAUGUUCAGCUCCUCUCAUAAGCUUGUUUCUGUGCCUAUAAUUUCCUAAUGGUAACUUUUACUGUCUCUAGACCCAAACCUGACAGUCCUCUUCCUCU
rnacentral:lncRNA from 1 species